UGGCUUUUGAUACACUUAUGAAAAAUUUAUAUUAAUCUUAUUAUGGCAUAGAUAUUUUCAACAUCUGGCUCUGGAGUCAGUGAGGGGAUGUGUUGUUCAAAUAUUUGUUCCCCAGCCUGAGAGGGAAUUUGGAGGGGGAGUGGUCUACUUAGGCUGCCAAAGCUUCACAAAUCCCUGACAAAAAGAGGAUCCCCAUCUUCCCCCACAGGGGCUGUGGUCAGCCCAGAGCCAUGGGAAUGUCAGCAGGAAUAGGAAAGGAACCAGCCCAGGGCUUUUCUCUUGUCCUGGCACAGCCACACAUUCAGGGCUCCAUUUCCAGCUCUGCUGUUUCUCAAGCAAAGUACUUACCUGCUUUCUGCCUCAGUUUCCCUGUUGGGUAAGUGGGAAUCACACUUCACCCUGGGUCACUGAGGAUUAAGUGAGUUAAUCCAUAGGAAGCCUUUGGAGUACUACCUGAUGCCUAGCCAGAGACACCAGCCAUUGUUAUGAGUGAUGAUGACGGUUCCUUAAGACAUGCUGUGGGGGGCUCCACUGUGAGGUGCAAGGGAAAGAGGGCUGCGUCUUGCAUUUUGCCUUGAAUUCGUGUCAUUUUGACACAGCUGUGAGCUAACAAUCUGCUAAUUAUAAAAUGUCUCUAAAGCACAUGAGAUAUUAAUAUAGAGAUCUGCUAGUUUAUUUUUGGACCUAUAAGCCUUUAAAAUCCCAUGUCCACUGGUAACAACGCCUCCUUUGGGGAGUAAAAAUUUUAAGUGGCAUUGCAAAGGGAAGAGCCACCAGAAAAUGGGCUGUGCCGCUUUAAAUGCUGUGAUCCUCCCUCACGUGGACAUGCCAGGUCUUAUAUGGUUCACGCAUAUGAAUUUGUGUGUAUUUUGACAUCACCAUCAUUCUACCUGGACUGUAAACUUUUGGUGACACAGAAGCAUUUCUGAGAUGGAGGUCUGGCUCUUCGGGCGUUAUUCAGCAAAUAAAUCUUUUGCUUUCAUUCUUUAUUCUCUUUCCUACCCUGAUCAUUUCUUGCUUCCGUUUCACGUUUCCCUUCCUCUUUGAUCUAUUUCUUGUCUUUUCCUUCCAGCCUGUGGAGGUUCACUGCCAGUGUCACCCGACUUUCCGCAACCCACUUCUCCUUGACUCAGUCUUCCCGCUGCUUACGUCCAUCAUUUCCCCCGGGACUCCACUCCACCCACGUGGUUUGCCUCCCCAGUCUGCCCCCGGGGCGGGGGGAUGAUCAGAAGAGGGGCACCUGUGAGCCUCACCUGUGAGAAGGCCGUUGAGAAUGAGACCAUUCGUGUGUCCCCACAUGUACCUGAGGCCUCCCCUCUUAACCAUUGGCCCACCUGAUAACUCUGGGGUUCCAAGGCAGACCUAGCUUGGGAUCUGCUUCUCUGCAUCUCUCUCUUACUCCACAGAUCCUCCCUACAUGUCGGAACUUACCUGCUUUUCCAUAAUAACCACCUGGUUCUCCUCUUCUCGAGAUGUAGCUACUCCUCCCUUUUUUCCGACUCCUGCCUCCGACUCCUUUUUUUCGACUUUUUUUUUUUUUUUUUCCGACUCCUGCCUCCACGAGGAAUGGGCAGGGCCCGCGGUGGGCAGCGUGUGUUGGCAUCUGUCUGACUCUGGGUGCGCUGGGCUGUUUUCGUCUUAGCUAGCUGGCAGAGGUACAUUCUUCUCCUCCUCAGAUGUCCAUUUAAGUUCAGGGUAGUGCUUUUCUGAAGGCUUGCGGUUUCUAGAAGCUUAAGCCUCAGAAGAGCAGAGCAUUCUUCUGCUUCUCCAAGAGCAGGGCCAGUGGUCUGUCCUGAUGUUGAAAGUCAGUCGGUCAACAGGCAAGAGCCCAUUCAUUUCUCCUGUUUUGUAUUUCGCCCCACAUGCCCGGACAGUGGCAUUUGUUAAUAAUGGCAUGGCAGAUUAUGGCGCUGCACUGAAUACUGUAUUCAUUGCUCUGGUCUAAAGAUGAAUUAUAUCCAGUCCUGAAAAAAAAAAAAUCAAUGGUGAUGUAUUGCAGCGUGAUCUAUGGCUUCUACCCUUGAGAGCAUCAGGAAAGCCUGGGUGUUUACUUUCUCCAGCCUGUAACUUCUUGAUGGGGGAUGGAUGGUGUAUAUUUAAACUCCCAGACCUGUGAGGAAUAUUUUUUCCCCAGAGAAACAUCUAUAUCUUGUAAAUGGAAUUUUAUAAACAUUUGUGGAACAGAAAAAUUCUCUAGUCCUUGGAAAUUGCCACACUCUGGGUUGAUUUAUCUCAUCUGUUGAAGAAUACCACACUUUUUAUCCUCUGGUUGUAGCACAUUUUGUGGAGCUCGGGAUGUGCCAUCACUCAAUGUCUGAUUAAGCAUCCACGUUUCCUAGUUGCCCAUCAAAGAGCUGAAAAUAGCCUUAGGUGUUGGGGUGGGCUAAGGUGUUGGCAAAGAGUCCUCUAAGUAAAAAUACCCCUCACCCUGACACCACUCUGAGAAAUGCCCCUGCUGGUCCAGAAGCCCACCCAUAGGUGGGGGCAGGCAGCCACCAGCGAGUGAAAGGAUCAUCCAGGCAGAGAGAAAGCCGUGAAGGUGAGCCCUGCCCAGGCUACAGCUGCCGGUGGCCGGCCCUGCUCACAAUUGUCAACUACUGUUGUGUGACGGUUCACUCGGCCUCAACAUCAAGUUGGAGGACAAACCUGUUGAUGUGAUAGUGCCCAGCGUUCAGAAGCUGAGAUUAGAGUCUGAGACUGCAGUGAUGUUCAUGUUCAAUGUCGCGACCUUUCCUAGCAGGCCUGGGCCGCUGCCAACGCCGGCCAGCGUGCUUCCGGCUUUGCUGUCACAGUCAUUGGCUGCACAGUGAGCCACAGGAAAAGGCCAAGGGCAGGUGGGGAGGAUGGUCAGAGGAACUGUCCACCGUGAAACAGUAAACAGGUAAUGUUCGGGGAGCCCACUGGUUGUUGACUGAGCACGAUUGGGGUGAAUCAGAAGGAGAGAGGGGCACAGUGCUGGACCUGAAGGGUCCCCCUCUGGUUAGGGACAAAGCUAGAUAGAUUCAGAGGCCUCAGUGAGCGUCUGUGGGUUUCCCAUCCGAAUCUUACAUCAUCCUGGUUCCGCAGGCACCCUGAGAACUUACCCCGCUUCCACCCCCCACCCCCACCCCGUUCUUCUCCUUGACCCCAGGCCACUGUGCUGGAGGCCGUGGUGUGCUUCUUCUCCGUCUGGUCUAUCGUCGGCCUCUCGGGUUUCCACACAUACCUGAUCAGCUCCAACCAGACGACAAAUGAAGAUAUUAAAGGAUCUUGGUCAAAUAAAAGAGGUAAAGAAAAUUACAAUCCCUACAGCUAUGGAAAUAUCUUUACAAAUUGCUGUGUUGCCCUGUGUGGGCCCAUCUCUCCAAGCCUGAUUGACAGAAGAGGAUACAUCCAGCCUGACACACCGCAGCCAGCCGCACCCUCCAAUGGCAUUGCCGCCUACGGAGCCACGCAGUCACAGAGCGACAUGGUAGGGGCCGCCUGCAGCCGGGCCCAGAGCUCCCUGCAGAGGCUUCUCUUCUGCUUCUAUGUUCACUAACCCAGUAACAGACCAAGCACACCUAGAAACCUUCCCGGAACACCCAUUUACUGAAAGGCUCAGACGAGGGAACAGAAGCGUUAAAUUAAGGCAAUACCCAACAAAGGAUUAUGGCCCCUGAGUGGUUGGUUUGCUCUGGGUUGUGUAAGGGGAAGUCCGCAUGCAAAAGGUCUUCCAGAAAC